AAGAGAAAACUAACCCCCACAUUUGAUGGGUCAGCGCUCUGGGACAAUCAAUGUUUUAUCACGUAUGCUAAGCUAAAUCCGAGGAGCCUGAUGAAGUUCCUUAGAAAGUGGGUUUUUUUUUCUGUCCCUCUGUAAAAUAAAGGUUGAAUGAGAGCUCAGUCUCUCCCUGAAUGUCUGGGAGCUUUGUAUCUAGAGGUGAACCAGAGAUUCUGCAGAUAAAGUCAGAUCCUCAAUGUGGGUUUAGAGAAGGACCCAGGUGGGGUGGAAUCUCUUUCAUAGAAGGACUUGGAGCGUUUCUGCUUGGGAAGAGCAC